rnacentral:rRNA from 1 species
UACGUAGGGUGCAAGCGUUGUCCGGAAUUAUUGGGCGUAAAGAGCUCGUAGGCGGUCUGUCGCGUCGGCUGUGAAAACCCGUGGCUCAACCCCGGGCCUGCAGUCGAUACGGGCAGACUAGAGUGCGGUAGGGGAGACUGGAAUUCCUGGUGUAGCGGUGAAAUGCGCAGAUAUCAGGAGGAACACCGGUGGCGAAGGCGGCCCUCUGGACGGUGACUGACGCUGAGACGCGAAAGCGUGGGGAGCAAACAGG